CCUACGGGAGGCAGCAGUGGGGAAUAUUGGGCAAUGGACGCAAGUCUGACCCAGCAACGCCGCGUGAAGGAAGAAGGCUUUCGGGUUGUAAACUUCUUUUAAGGGGGAAGAGCAGAAGACGGUACCCCUUGAAUAAGCCACGGCUAACUACGUGCCAGCAGCCGCGGUAAUACGUAGGUGGCAAGCGUUGUCCGGAUUUACUGGGUGGAAAGGGCGUGCAGCCGGAGAGACAAGUCAGAUGUGAAAUCCACGGGCUCAACCCGUGAACUGCAUUUGAAACUGUUUCCCUUGAGUGUCGGAGAGGUAAGCGGAAUUCCUUGUGUAGCGGUGAAAUGCGUAGAGAUAAGGAAGAACACCAGUGGUGAAGGCGGAUUACUGGACGAUAACUGACGGUGAGGCGCGAAAGCGUGGGGAGCAAACAGGAUUAGAUACCCCAGUAGUC
rnacentral:rRNA from 1 species